AAAGACGGUGAGGAAAAGAAUGGUCGACAAACCUUGUGUGGUGCCUUAACAGUCCAACAGACUAAGGGAUAGAUAAAGGUGGAUCUUGAUAAAACUGCCUUGUUUUGUGGUUUGCACGAAAUGGUUGACACAAUGAUCUGAAGUUCAAACUGCCAUUUUCUACUGUCCGCUGCGAGAUCUUGGCUGGAAUGUAAAAGGAAUGUCCAAAAUAUUUAAAUGACAAACAGGAUGGGAACUGAUUAUGAGGAAUAUGCUGAAACAGACAUCUGGCAUAUUCCUAUAAUCAGGCAGA
rnacentral:sRNA from 1 species